rnacentral:pre_miRNA from 1 species
AUUAUACUCCCUCUGUCCCAAAUUAGUUGUCUUAGAUUUCUCUAUAUAAGCAUGUAUUUAGACACGUUUUUUGUGUUAGAUACAUCCGUGUCUAGACAGAUCUAAGACAACUAAUUUGGGACAGAUCUAAGACAAC